rnacentral:lncRNA from 1 species
CACGUGCGGUGUACCUUUUUUUAGGUAUAAUUGCCUAUAUACCACUCAUAUGUUUGAAAAUAUCCGAUUUACCCAUACUUUUUUUUCUUUCUAAAAUACCCCUCAUAUAUUCCACUGUUAUUGCAAAAUACCCCCGCAAUUAUCUCUUGUUAAGUUAACUUGGGUUAAACGUAAGUUAAAUAUCUACCACAGUUAAAAAAAAUUAAAAUAUCAAUUUUGCCCUUAACUUAAGGGCAAAUAAGAAAUGUCAGUAACAGUAGAGGGGUAUAUUAGAAAAGACCAAAAGUCAAAAUACUUUUUGUGUCCCUGACUUUAAGGGCAAAUAAGAAAGUCAGUGAUGGUGGAACGGUAUAUUUGAAAGGGCAAAAUAGUAAUUUUACAGAGAUAACAGAGUUAAUUAACAGAUUUUAACUCUAGAGGUAUAUUAGAAAUAGGUUGGAACGUAGAAGGGUAUUUUCCAUAUUAGCCUUCUAAGAGGGGUAAAUUGGAAAGUCGGGAGCUUUUCAGGGGUAUAUAAGCAAUUGCCCCUUUUUUUUCAUCCCGACCGAGGGUCUCCGCCGUAGGUUUUUCCGUCGCCAUGGUUAAAAGAUGAGAGGGUGAGAAAGAUAACGGGACUCAACAUUAUAAUACAAAUUAUAUAUACAUGGGGUAAAAAGGUCGUUUUACCCCUUAACUAACUGUGGUUAACUUUUUUAACUCAUGAUUAUCUAAAUUUUGGUAACAUAAAGAUAUAUUUGCAGACGGAAUGACUUUUGGAAGGAUAAAUAUGAUAACUUAAGUUUUGUACGGAUAUAUUUACUAUUUGAUA